rnacentral:tRNA from 1 species
GGGUCUAGCUUAGUGGUAGAGUGUGUGCUUAGCAUGCAUCAGGUCCUGGGUUCAAUUCCCAGGACCUCCA